GGAAAAGGUAUCCGCAAAGAGAGAGCCUUUUAGUUUAACAAGAAAAGACAGUGUGGGAAUAAAAAAUUUCACUUGGAAGGAUUUUCUAAUUAAGCAUUGAAAUUACCUCCUGAGAGAUAUGAAGGAUUUUCUGUUCUGAAAAACCUUUACAUCAAGACUGGAAAGAUUUACAAAGGCUAUGCUACAACUCGGGCACAGGCUACUAAUGUCACUGAGAAAAAAAGCCUAAAACCUUUUGUUUUAUGACUUUAAUCUUGAAUUCUCUAGAGGCCUACAGUUACUUGCAGCUCUUCCAAUGGACUAUUAGCUUGUUGGCAGUCUCUAUGCUAAGGCAAUAUUAUCAACAUAUUCUGCAUCAACCAAUGAUGAUUCUGUAAUUUUUACUCCAACUUUAGCAUCUGUUAUCAGACAGUAAACUGGAGCACCGAAAAGACUGGCUAACAAACGUUUCUCCAGCAUAUCCCUGUUGAAAGCAAAUCCACAAGACAGCCAUUAAGUCUUUCAUAAUUAACGGCAAUGAGGUAAAGUUUCUUAACUGUCUACUCUAACUCCUAGGACGAGGGAUUCAUCUCUAUGAUUUAUAUUGUGAUUUGCUACAUUUAUAUGAUCUGCAAGCCCUAAUAGUUAUAACAGAAUACUAGCUACAAAACUUUCUCCUCACCUGGGUUUCUUGUAGAGAUACUUUUCUUGCUUGCUUCUAAUUAAAUAUGGUGCACACCCUUUCAUAAGAUUUCCCAUUCUGGAGGAAUUUAUUUAGUUACUUAACUUAAUAAAGUUCUCCUUUAAUAUUUUUUUUCUGCUUUGGUAGGGUAUCCCUAAAGUACUCACAGUAAUAAAAUGUCAAAGUCUUUUCAGCAUUAAAGCAUAUCCUCUCAGUUCCCUUUCAGUUGGAGUUCAUAUUAUUUUGCCAGGAGAGGAGCUGAGGAGCAGUCCCUCGCUGCACUGAUCUGGAUUUUAAUACCCUCCACAAGCAGCAACAGUGGUGUUUCAGGGCCAGCAACUGCCAGGUAUUCCUCAGAGCUUGUCACCACUCAAGCGUGCAGUUGUCCUUGCCAGGGGGAUUCUGGCUUGUAGAAUACAACCAGGCUGUGCAGCCUGCGUCACCCAGAUUCAUCCAAAGCAGACAACAAUGAUCUGCCUUUCCCUCAGUACAUUGGAGAUGCUCUGGAAAUCUCUGCGUUUUUCUGCACUGAAGGACGUCCUAGAAUAAGGACAGCUGCCUGGGCUGAAGGAGUCAGCUGAACAGAAGAUCCUUUAGAAGAGGUCCUUGGAUUCCCAGAAAUAUACAGAUCAGAUGUUGAAAAUCACUGAACGGGGACACCGCACUCAAUUGGGAAAGAUGAGACAACAGUGGAUUAAAAAUACAGAAAAGAAAGUUAAGGCAUCCCAUCUUCCAGCACCCAAAGGGUGAAAGGCAGCUGCCAUUCGCCCCAACAGCAGCUGGAGAAGCCACAGCAAAAGAGUGUGUAAAGACACUGUGUGAAGAGUGUCAAAAGUGAAAGCCUCAGGGGCGAAGAGGGAAAGAAAUGACGUCACUGUAAUGGAAGCCUUUUCUACUUGUCUGUCUGUCUGUCAGCAACGACUUCUGAAUCAAUAAAUACCAGUCAGAAUGCACAAUUCCUGCUGACCUGCAGUCCCCCCUUCAUCUCUGGAGAAAAUAAACACGGGUUGUGGGUGCUGAGCAGCUCUGCCUUCUUCAGAGCUUCCAUUGUAUUUGUGUUUGUGGUGUUUCAGCCAGCAGCACCAGGCAGCGUUCAUUUGGUAGUCCCAGGAACUUGGAGGAAUUCCCCGGUUAUUAUGAGAUUAUCCCUUCACUGCAAAAUAAACGAUUCUUCACCAAUUCCAUCUCAGGGGUGUUCUCUCACAGAUGUCUGGGAGUCAGGAGGGGUCAGGACAGGAGGGACUUGACUCG
ensembl:lncRNA